rnacentral:rRNA from 1 species
ACGUAGGGUCCAAGCGUUAUCCGGAAUUACUGGGCGUAAAGAGUUGCGUAGGUGGCAAAGUAAGUUGGUAGUGAAAUCCUGGGGCUCAACCCCUUCAACAUUAUCAAAACUGCUUAGCUAGAGGACGAGAGAGGUCACUGGAAUUCCUAGUGUAGGAGUGAAAUCCGUAGAUAUUAGGAGGAACACCGAUGGCGUAGGCAGGUGACUGGCUUGUUCCUGACACUAAGGCACGAAAGCGUGGGGAGCGAACGGGA